GCCUGGGCUGUCUUUCAGCCCUACAUAAACUGUCUGUCGGGGCUGCCUUUCAGCCCUACAUAAACUGUCUGUCGGGGCUGCCUUUCAGCCCUACACAAACUGUCUGCCUGGGCUGCCUUUCAGUCCUACAGUAGCUGUCUGUCUGGGCUGCCUUUCAGUCCUACAGUAGCUGUCUGUCUGGGGAUGCCUUUCAGUCCUACAGUAGCUGUCUGUCGGGGAUGCCUUUCAGUCCUACAGUAGCUGUCUGUCUGGGCUGCCUUUCAGUCCUACAGUAGCUGUCUGUCUGGGCUGCCUUUCAGUCCUACAGUAGCUGUCUGCCUGGGAGGCCUUUCAGUCCUACAGUAGCUGUCUGUCGGGGCUGCCUUUCAGCCCUACACAAACUGUCUGCCUGGGCUGCCUUUCAGUCCUACAGUAGCUGUCUGUCUGGGCUGCCUUUCAGUCCUACAGUAGCUGUCUGUCGGGGAUGCCUUUCAGUCCUACAGUAGCUGUCUGUCGGGGAUGCCUUUCAGUCCUACAGUAGCUGUCUGUCUGGG